CGACGAUGCGUAGGGGUUCUGAGAGGAAGGCCCCCCACACUGGUACUGAGACACGGACCAGACUCCUACGGGAGGCAGCAGUGAGGAAUAUUGGUCAAUGGCCGAGAGGCUGAACCAGCCAAGUCGCGUGAGGGAAGAAUGUCCUAAGGAUUGUAAACCUCUUUUGUCGGGGAGCAAAAAGGCUCUGCGGAGUCGUAUUGAGAGUACCCGAAGAAAAAGCAUCGGCUAACUCCGUGCCAGCAGCCGCGGUAAUACGGAGGAUGCGAGCGUUAUCCGGAUUUAUUGGGUUUAAAGGGUGCGCAGGCGGCGUGUCAAGCAAGCGGUAAAAUAGCGGGGCUCAACCCCGUCGAGCCGUUUGAACUGGCGCGCUUGAGUUCAGGCGAGGUAGGCGGAAUUCGUGGUGUAGCGGUGAAAUGCAUAGAUAUCACGAAGAACUCCGAUUGCGAAGGCAGCUUACCAGUCUGCGACUGACGCUCAGGCACGAAAGUGUGGGUAUCGAACAGGAUUAGAUACCCUGGUAGUCCACACAGUAAACGAUGAGCGCUAG
rnacentral:rRNA from 1 species